CCUUUUCUGACCUGGAGUAACGGACCUGGUACUUGGAGCUGCUUCAGCCAACUUGACACUGAGGCGGGAAGCCAUGGGCUGAGGAUAAGAGCCCUGUGGUGGUGGAGGAAGGCACCACCUGAGUCCUCUAUGACUUCUGAGAGCAGUUUCACCAGCCGUGGAUGGACUACCUGGGACUUCUUGGGCUUCUACCCAUCAGCAGCCUUCUUCCUUUGGAUCUCACAAGCUUCCAACAACACCAUCUGUGGUUUGGCUCAAACCCUUCUGCCUGUGCUGCCAUCCUGUUCCUACAACACUGCCUUCAGCUAAGAAAAUUGACAAAGAAAUUGCACGGCGGUUGAAUCAAGAAGAAAAGGCCUGAGAUGUAAAACGGAUUCCUCGGCAUGAAGCAAACUCCGUGGGGCAAGUGGGGAGCAGUUUCCCGCCCCACUUCAGUCUCUAGGGGGGACUUAGCUACUGCUGCUGCCCCUCCCACUCCCUGCCUGGAAUAUACUCUCUCCAUCUCCCAGGCCUGUCUGAAUUAGGCUCAUAUUUCAAGAUCUCCCAUGCAUCCGUUUCCCUAGGAAAGCCUCACCUGCACUGACUUCUCCUCCAAGUCCCAUUUCAGAGGUUACACACGCACGAUUUGGCCCUGUGUUGCUCUCCUUGAUUUCACUUCUGUGGCUUCUGUCUCCCUAACUAGACCACAUACUCUUCAGGGAAAGAACCCCACACCUGUUCUUUUGGUGUCCUCUAAAGCAUCAGUAGUACAAAGUGGUACAAACUGGAGACAUCGGAUAAAAACCACGUCAAUGACUUCAGUUCUGUGGAUUCCUCAAAGCUGCUCACUGUUCUAGAUCUUUCCUAAGAAUUCUAACCCGGCUCUUAAUUAGAAUAGACGGUUUCCAUCUGGGAAGAGUCACCCUGCGGACACUCAAGGUGUGUGUGUCUGUUGGUGUUUUGUCACCUCUGUGAAUCAAAUCUGGGGUCUGAACUAGUGCUGCUGACAGCUGCCUGUGGAGUCACCCAGAGCAGCACUUCCCAACCUUUGCUGUGGCCAGGAAUCACCCAGGGAUCUUGUUACAGUGCAGGCUCAGUAGGAUCUGGGCUGAAGCCUGGGAUUCUGCCUUCCUAACAACCCUCAGAGGAUGCUGAUUCUACUAGUCUGUGACCUCACACUUUGAGUAGAAAGAGACCCAGGAACACGUGCGAUCUUGAGACUGAAGAUGCCAUCUGGCAGGGUUAGUGCUGCCUGCUGCCAUCCUAAUCUGAGCGUGAACAAGAGAACUCUAUGGACAGAGGCCGAGUGAGCCAACUGCGCAGGGAGUGAACUCACUCUGAAUGGGGCUGUUCUAACACCCGCCAAGUCAAGUCAUUAAGAUGCCAUCCCCGAGGUGCAGCCCCCAGCGUCACCUCUGGAUAUCCAUAUCCUCAAGCCCGCCGGCAGAAAGGAUGAAUGGUGAGCACAGAGCUGGUGAAAGCAAGCUCUUUCAUGAGCAGGGCGUGAGAGGACCUCUCCGGCUCCUCUUAAGGUGGGGGUGGGGCGCUUCGGAGUAGAAGUCGUUCCUCCUCUCUCCCACUGCCUCCUCUACCACACCGAACUAAAAUUAACCCUCAAAUUUACAGGGAGUUACCCAAAAGAUUGCUCCACAAAAGGCAACCAAGAAGGGGGCUGGGUAAUAACAUUAGAAAAAAUAUCUGCAAUGCCAAAAAUAAUCACUGUGUCAUGAGAAAACAGAGCUGGACUGCCUCAGAGGCCAGCACUGGGUAUAUACAGGAAGGAGGGGGCAGAAAUUCCCCUGGCAGUGUCGUCAAACAUUCUGGAUGGAAAAAGGCGGGUGGGGGGCGGGGGUGCACAUAACCGGGACAGACAGUUGUCAGAACUCUUUUCAAGUACAGAAUAUGAUUUUAAGGGUCAGUUCUCUCUUCUUUAUUUCAGACACUUUAAUUUCAAAGAAAACAUUUGUUUAGACUUUUAAUCAGGACUGAUGCUUGAUCACAUGCUAAUAGUGAAAUAUCCUAGGAUCUGCCUUACUAAUCCCAACAUGUUGCCAGAACUUCUGGUUCCUGGAAUUUAAAGUAUUUCAAAACAGCAAGAGAAGGGGGAGAAAGCACGGGAUCCCUCACUCUCCUACCCCCAUCCUCAUAACCCCUUCUCCCCUCCCUAUUAAAAAAAGGAAAGCAAAGAAAGAGGAAAAGUGAAAGAGGAGAGAGCUGGUAGAGAAUCUGUCCUGGGCUUCCUUUAUAAAGAAUCCUGAUCUGAGGCCUGUUCACAUGGUCACAUGUCUAGUAUUGUGGGAUCUGAUUCAUGCCACAGCGCGAACACUUGCUUUCCCCCAAUUCUGCCCUCUCUUGCUCUGAUGAGAAGUGAGAUGUCUGCGCACAUUUCCAUUCCUUUGUAAAGAAGUCAUCAAAAGCCACAGGAAAUGCUAAAAGUCUUUUCCAAAUUUAUUAUCAUGCUCUCAAAUAACAUUGAGCAAUUUGGGAAAUAAAACUGUAUUUUUC
rnacentral:lncRNA from 10 species